UGGGGAAUCUUGCGCAAUGGGCGAAAGCCUGACGCAGCAACGCCGCGUGAGGGACGAAGGCCUUCUGGGUUGUAAACCUCUUUCAGUAGGGACGAUAGUGACGGUACCUGCAGAAGAAGCCCCGGCCAACUACGUGCCAGCAGCCGCGGUAAUACGUAGGGGGCGAGCGUUGUCCGGAAUCAUUGGGCGUAAAGAGCUCGUAGGCGGCUUGGCAAGUCGGGUGUGAAAUCUCCAGGCUCAACCUGGAGUCGCCACUCGAUACUGCCAUGGCUAGAGUCCGGUAGGGGACCACGGAAUUCCUGGUGUAGCGGUGAAAUGCGCAGAUAUCAGGAGGAACACCAGUGGCGAAGGCGGUGGUCUGGGCCGGUACUGACGCUGAGGAGCGAAAGCGUGGGGAGCGAACAGG
rnacentral:rRNA from 1 species